rnacentral:tRNA from 1 species
AGGGAUGUAGCUCAGUGGUAGAGCUCUUACUUAGCAUGUAUGAGGUCCUGGGUUUAAUGCCCAGCACCACAA